AGUGAACGCUGGCGGUAGGCCUAACACAUGCAAGUCGAACGGCAGCACAGUAAGAGCUUGCUCUUACGGGUGGCGAGUGGCGGACGGGUGAGGAAUACAUCGGAAUCUACUUUUUCGUGGGGGAUAACGUAGGGAAACUUACGCUAAUACCGCAUACGACCUACGGGUGAAAGCAGGGGAUCUUCGGACCUUGCGCGAUUGAAUGAGCCGAUGUCGGAUUAGCUAGUUGGCGGGGUAAGGCCCACCAAGGCGACGAUCCGUAGCUGGUCUGAGAGGAUGAUCAGCCACACUGGAACUGAGACACGGUCCAGACUCCUACGGGAGGCAGCAGUGGGGAAUAUUGGACAAUGGGCGCAAGCCUGAUCCAGCCAUACCGCGUGGGUGAAGAAGGCCUUCGGGUUGUAAAGCCCUUUUGUUGGGAAAGAAAAGCAGCAGGUUAAUACCCCGCUGUUCUGACGGUACCCAAAGAUUAAGCACCGGCUAACUUCGUG
rnacentral:rRNA from 1 species